rfam:Ornithorhynchus anatinus chromosome 1, whole genome shotgun sequence.
CCCCUCUCAGGAUCACACCUGGAGAGUUUCCAGUACUCUACCAGUCUCAGAUAAGGGAGGGAGAGUCAAGCAGAGGCCUACCCAUUCCAUUCCUAGCUUGGGCAAUGGCUAGUAAGAGGAAGGCAAUCUGCUACAAAU